GGUUCCAUGGUGUAAUGGUGAGCACUCUGGACUCUGAUUCCAGCAAUCCGAGUUCAAGUCUGGGUGGAACCU